ACUUAACCCGGAGAGGAAGCAGUGGCUAACUCUGUGCCAGCAGCCGCGGUAAUACAGAGACUGCAAGCGUUAUUCGGAUUCACUGGGCGUAAAGGGUGCGCAGGCGGCCGUGUGUGUGAGGUGUGAAAUCCCGGAGCUUAACUCCGGAACUGCGCCUCAAACUACACGGCUAGAGCAUUGGAGAGGGAAGUGGAAUUCACGGUGUAGCAGUGAAAUGCGUAGAUAUCGUGAGGAACACCAGAGGCGAAGGCGACUUCCUGGACAAUUGCUGACGCUCAGGCACGAAAGCGUGGGGAGCAAAAGGGAUUAGAUACCCCUGUAGUCCACGCCCUAAACGGUGCACACUAGGUUUUGGAGGAUUCGACCCCUUCAGGACCCAAGCUAACGCGUUAAGUGUGCCGCCUGAGGACUACGGCCGCAAGGCUAAAACUCAAAGGAAUUGACGGGGGCCCGCACAAGCGGUGGAGCAUGUGGCUUAAUUCGAUGCAACGCGAAGAACCUUACCAGGCCUUGACAUGCACUGGACCGACGCUGAAAGGCGUCUUUCCCGCAAG
rnacentral:rRNA from 1 species